CCCUCUGCUGGACUCCCAGUUCUGCCCCCACACAGGGCCGGAGAAGAGCCUUACAGGUUGUCAAUGAAACAUGGAAUUAUUUCCUUUGAUGGCUUAGAUAAUAGUAGGAGCCAAAGCAAUGAGUGAGGUAGGCAGAGACCAAUGCAGUCCAGCCCGGGACCUGAGAGCCAAUCGCAGGAGUAGAGGGCGGGGCGUCGGCGGCAGCAGAUAAUUGCUAAGUGCAUCCCUAGCACAGUUGGUCAGAGCUGCUGAAAGGUCUGGUCGCAGAGACAGGAACGCGUAAUUCUCAGCGUGCUCCAUCCGGACAGCAGGACAGCAUCUACCCACCUUCCAGCAGGGCAUCCAGCCUCUGGACCACAGCCCCUCUGCUCCUCGGAAAAGCCUGAUGAAGUCCUCCGAUAUCGAUCAAGAUUUAUUUACAGACAGUUACUGCAAAGUGUGCAGUGCACAACUGAUAUCAGAAUCCCAGCGCGUGGCCCACUACGAGGUAAGGAUGACACCCACUCGUUGUGUUCGAGGGUAAAGGAGCCGCCAGAGUCAUGGACACAGGGGCCGAGGGUGCCUCUCCGUGACUUGGGUGUCUUUUCAGAGCCGCUGCGUGUGUCUGUACAGUACAAGG
rnacentral:lncRNA from 1 species